UGAGCAACCUGCCCUUGACCCUGGAAUAACAGCUGGAAACAGCUGCUAAUACCGGAUACGACCUCCGAUGGCAUCAUCUGGAGGUGGAAAGCUCCGACGGUCAAGGAUGGGCUCGCGGCCUAUCAGCUUGUUGGUGAGGUAACGGCUCACCAAGGCUUCGACGGGUAGCCGGCCUGAGAGGCGACCGGCCACACUGGGACUGAGAUACGGCCCAGACUCCUAGGAGG
rnacentral:rRNA from 1 species